UUGUCUUUAAUGGCUUGUAAAUGUACCUAAGUAGUCUCAUCCUCACAAUCUUCCUAUUGAUAAUGUAUCAGUAGAAGAAUAUGUAGAAAAUGUCUAUCAUAAAGAGGACAACACUUUUAAUGUCAUAAUUCUUCAAUUACAAAUUGUUGUAUGAAGAAAUAAGAGUUGCUUUGAACAACCCUUAGUCAAUGCAAACACUUAGUGCUUGUUUCUUUGUUACAUGAACAAGGAACUUGAGAAGUAAGCACAAGGGCAUGGACACUUUAUGUGCCAUGAUUCUUCACUUACAAAUUGUUGUAUGAAGAAAUGAGAGUUGCCUUGUACAACUCUUGAAAGUUUGUAAUUAUGUUUACAACAUAAUGGUUGGUUGACAAAAAUAGUCCAUCAACAUGGACUUAUGAUGAUUUUGAAUCAUUGAGUGUUGAAGUGAUAAACCACUUAACGAGACGGAAACUAGGCAAGGACUUCACCUUUAUGUCCCAAUCCUAAUGGUUCACUAAGUUUAUUGUAAACUAUAUAGUGAACAAUAAACACAUACUCUCCAAAAUCGUUUGAUGUGUAUAACACAAUUGAAAUAAGUUUCAAGAGAGAUA
rnacentral:lncRNA from 1 species